AAUAGGAAUAAAUGUGUUUAUUACCUGUUAGAGUUGCUCAUACAUAAGCUCCACUGCAUCGUCAACAGAUAAAUUGGACAUGUUAUCGUCCCAACUGAUAGAGUUAAAGAAAAUAAGCAUACCAGAGUAAUUUGCUCUACUGUAGUCAGGUCUGCUCUUGGGUGUGGCCGAAGAGGAACCAGAGAUAGAGGGUAUGAAAAGUUGAGUAGAGAGAUUGAGAGGAGGAUGAUACAGAUCGAUGAGAAGAAGUGAUUCAGUAGGAGAUUGUAUGUGAAUGUUAGCAUGAUUUGUGAAGAUGAGAUCGAGAAUUGAGCCAGAAGAGUUUGCGAAGUGAUUAAGUUGGAUGAGAUCACAUUGGCCUAUCAGUUCAUAAACAAGGUUGGUUAUUUGAGUGGAUCUGCUGUUGGUGGAGCAAGAGAUGAGCUGAGAGAUGUAGGAUGAGGUUUGAGAAGUCCAGUUAAGAAAAGGAAUAUUUUAGUCACCAGUGAUUAUUAGUGAAGCUGAGGCGUAUACGGUUGAAAUGUUGGAAAUGCAUUGGAAAUGAUCAGAGUAGAAGGAUGAUGGAGAACCAGGCGGAAGAUAAAUGGUAGAAACAAUAAGAAAGUGAGAGGAAAGCGGAGAGCUGAUAUUGAUGAAGAGAUGCUCCAAGUGGUCAGUAGGUAGGGAGAGCAAAGAACAAGAUAAGCUUGUGUGAACAGCUAUUAGAACACCCUCGCUCCUUUCAAAAGAGCUGGAGGAGUCGCUUUAAUCGUUGAGAAACACAGUAUAGUCAUCCAUUCCUAGUUCAGUGAAAAAGUUGCAUUUGAGCCACGUCUCGGUCAGAAUGAUAAUGUCGUAAUCCACUAAAGAUGUAAACAGAGAGGAACUUAAGUCAAUCAUUUUGAGUUUGAAGUUUGAGGCGCAGAUCCCGUAAAUAUGCCUGUUCUGUUGGAGACUUAUCAUCCGUUAUUUUGAAGAGUCCGCUGCAUCUACUUUUGUUGGCAAGAAUAUGCCUGGCGAACUCAGCGUCCUGCAAGGAAAUAUGUAGGAGCCUGGUGAUUUACCUGGUUUUCCUAAUCGAGAAACACUAAUUGCUAUGUAGUCCGCCGAAUCGAUGCUAUUCAGGAUUUGUCUAGCUGUAGAAACGUCCUGGUCGCGAGUCGAUUGUGGAGUUCCAGUGCCUGUAGCUGAUGGUUCCGGGACGCCGCGGAUGAGAACGUUCUUGGACCUCUUCUCCUCCUCAGCAAUCUCAGCCACAAUGGUGAACGUCAAUUCCGGAGUAGAGAUAGUCGUGUUUUGACCAGCAUCAUUUCGAUUCUCCAAAAGAUCGUAGGUUCAGUAUCUCAUUGCGGAAGAGAUCCCUGAUAUCCUCGAACGUAAAGGAGGAGGCGGAGCCACCUGAUGUAGACGCACGUGAGCUGACUGGAGAGAUGAUUGCCGAAGAACUGCCAGAUGGCAUUAAGAGAGGAUCAGUUUUACAAUUCAAAAGUCGCCCGUUAAGGGUGACCCGAUAUGAAUAAACAAUUUGCACCGGUAUGCGAGAUUAUCCCGCAGGCCAUGCAUCUGGCCGGAUUGGACAUUGCGGAUUUUGCACAACCCUUGCACUUGUCAGCCAUAUUGCAGCGAUGUAGUUCUCGAAUAGGUGUAACAAAUAAAUCGUGGACAAGUACGGU